rnacentral:tRNA from 1 species
GGAAGCGUUUCGUCACCGGUGUGGCGCCCGGGCUUCAAACCCGGUGGGCGGGCUAACCCUCGCCGGUAGGUUCGACUCCUAUACGCUUCCGCCA